rnacentral:other from 1 species
GCAGCCCUUCUGUGUACGUGAUAUUGCCUCCACGUUUUGAGCCAAUAAAUAAUACAAGGGUCCUUAGCUUAAAGGAAAUAACGCGAUAGGCCUGAGCCAAGGCGGCGUUUCCCGGUAGGGACCCACCUGCAUCUGCAGGUUCAAAACCUGGUGAUACACGGCAUAAGCGGGGCUAUU